GUAGGUGGCAAGCGUUGUCCGGAAUUAUUGGGCGUAAAGCGCGCGCAGGCGGUUCUUUAAGUCUGAUGUGAAAGCCCACGGGCUCAACCGUGGAGGGUCAUUGGAAACUGGAGAACUUGAGUACAGAAGAGGAAAGCGGAAUUCCACGUGUAGCGGUGAAAUGCGUAGAGAUGUGGAGGAACACCAGUGGCGAAGGCGGCUUUCUGGUCUGUAACUGACGCUGAGGCGCGAAAGCGUGGGGAGCAAACAGGAUUAGAUACCCUGGUAGUCCACGCCGUAAACGAUGAGUGCUAAGUGUUAGGGGGUUUCCGGCCCCUUACGUGCUGCAGCUAACGCAUUAAGCACUCCGCCUGGGGAGGUACGGCCGCAAGGCUG
rnacentral:rRNA from 1 species